rnacentral:tRNA from 1 species
GCUGGUAUGGUGUAGUGGCUAGCAUUGAGGCCUGUGGAGCCUUAGGCCCGGGUUCGACUCCCGGUACCGGCC